AUGAAUGAACCGCAUGGAAUUCCAGACAAGCCUUUGUCCCAGGAGGUGACUGGAUCAACUACAAUUACCUUGAUUUGGAAUCCAGUCACUCUUCACCAACUCCAGGGCUCCCCUCUUCUCAUCCUGGAUUGUGCGAGCCUUCUGGUUGGUUCCCCUCCACGAUUCUCCCCCAACCCAAGCCAUACACUAUUCUCACACAGUAGGCAGAUUGAUGUCAAAAAACUAAAUAAAGGUAAGUAAGAUCAUGCUGCUCCUCCACUUGAAACCCUCCAGUAGCACUCUUCACACCAAGUAAAGUCAAGUCCUUAUGUCUGUCUAGGAUUCUCUCAAGACCCACCUCUCUGCUCCUCUGAUUGCACUUCCCACUGCUCUCCCUCUGGUCCCAUUCACCAGCCAGCCCUCCUCUCCUUCUUGGAUUGUACCAAGCACAUUUUUUCCCUCUGGGCCUCAUGGCCUUUCAUUGGCUUCCUCCAUAUGGCCAUCCUUUCAUCUCCUUCAAGACUUUGCUCAAAUAUGACCUUCUUUGAGAGGCCCUUCUCUCUAUUCCUCUUCUCUGAUUCACUUUUCUCUGUGGCACUUACCACAAUCUAGUAUAACUUAGUUAUUUUU
rnacentral:lncRNA from 1 species